UCUUCCCCAUCUUCUGUAUCCUCCUGUGGAACAAGAUCAUCACAGUCCAAAAAGGCGGGAGAGAGUAGGAGGCCUGCUAAAAGGAAACGGGAAGAUAUAAAGUCUGAAAAAGAAAAAAACGAAGAAGAGUCUGACAAAAAGCACCAGUCCAACUCUUCCUCCUCAUCUUCAGACUCUGAGGGCUUUAAUAGCAUAAAAAAAUGUUUGACAAGAUCAGUUCAAAAGAAGUUGGAGAAAGAUGGCAUGAUUGCUGAAAACGAAGAGAGCAGUAAAAGACAACAGGGGAGGUCAGACAAGAAGGGUAAAACCACAAAUACCACAGAAGGGGAGUCUAGUGGUGAAACGUGUUCAAGAGUGACCCGGAAAUCUGCAGGCCCACAGCCCAAUACUUUAGCCUCCCCUGAACCUGAGGUACUGGGCAAACGCUGCUCAGCACUUAAUGCUGCCGCCAAGCUCUUGGCAAUGAGGGGAAGAGGGCCAGACACACCCAGCCCCAGAAGUAAGACUGCUGCACAACAAAGCAAACCACCGUCCUCUGAAAAAAACAGAAAGGGUUAAAAAAGAAGAAAAGAAAAAGACAUCUGAGAAGGAAGAAGGUGAAGAUGAAAAUAGAGAGACUAGGUCUUCAGAAGGCCAUAGUGCCUGCAGUAGUAUAAGCAGUGAAAGAGGAGCAGGCAGUAUUAGAAGUCGGAGUAGCAGCAACAGCAGCCAGCGCACCCACAGUUUGAGCUCGCAGAGUACAGAGCCCACCCGCUCUCGUUCCAGGGCAGCAUCCUCUGGUAGUGAUACAGAGAGAGGCAAAAGUAUUUGGCAUAAGAGAGAUGGUGGCAGAGGCAGGGAGAGCAGGAAAGAGAGGAGGUCCCAGAAACAGGACAAACCUGAACUGAGUGCUGGAUCCAGCGAAGGGACCCCGGACAGGGUUCUCAGGAGUGUAGCUGCAUUGGCAGCUGCUCAGGCACGUACUCCAGCGAGCAACACACGUUCUUCAUCCACCCAAAACCGGCACUCCAAGACGUGAUGGGUGCAGAGAAUUAGCUUUAGGUUUAAACAAAGAGUUAGACAAGAACUUCAGCGAGGCACGAGUGCAGAGUUUAGUUUUGGAGGACAGUGGAUCAAUUUCAUUUAAAGGCCAUGGUUUAGCUGUAUGAGACUAGACGGGAAAAAAGAUAUCUGUUGCACAUUGUGAUUAGAUC
ensembl:lncRNA